rnacentral:tRNA from 1 species
GGCCCCAUCGUCUAGUGGUUAGGACAUCACUCUUUCAAGGUGGAGACACGGGUUCGAAUCCCGUUGGGGCCA